UACGGAGGGGGCUAGCGUUGUUCGGAAUUAUUGGGCGUAAAGGGCGCGUAGGCGGCCUGGCAAGUGGAAGGUGAAAUCCCUCGGCUUAACCGAGGAACUGCCCUCCAAACUGCUUGGCUUGAGUCCGGGAGAGGUGAGUGGAAUUCCCAGUGUAGCGGUGAAAUGCGUAGAUAUUGGGAGGAACACCAGUGGCGAAGGCGGCUCACUGGACCGGAACUGACGCUGAGGCGCGAAAGCGUGGGGAGCAAACGGG
rnacentral:rRNA from 1 species